rnacentral:rRNA from 1 species
AGAGUUUGAUCCUGGCUCAGGACGAACGCUGGCGGCGCGCCUAACACAUGCAAGUCGAACGAGCGAGAGAGAGCUUGCUUUCUCGAGCGAGUGGCGAACGGGUGAGUAACGCGUGAGGAACCUGCCUCAAAGAGGGGGACAACAGUUGGAAACGACUGCUAAUACCGCAUAAGCCCACGGGUCGGCAUCGACCAGAGGGAAAAGGAGUGAUCCGCUUUGAGAUGGCCUCGCGUCCGAUUAGCUAGUUGGUGAGGUAACGGCCCACCAAGGCGACGAUCGGUAGCCGGACUGAGAGGUUGAACGGCCACAUUGGGACUGAGACACGGCCCAGACUCCUACGGGAGGCAGCAGUGGGGAAUAUUGCACAAUGGGGGAAACCCUGAUGCAGCGACGCCGCGUGGAGGAAGAAGGUCUUCGGAUUGUAAACUCCUGUUGUUGGGGAAGAUAAUGACGGUACCCAACAAGGAAGUGACGGCUAACUACGUGCCAGCAGCCGCGGUAAAACGUAGGUCACAAGCGUUGUCCGGAAUUACUGGGUGUAAAGGGAGCGCAGGCGGGAAGACAAGUUGGAAGUGAAAUCUAUGGGCUCAACCCAUAAACUGCUUUCAAAACUGUUUUUCUUGAGUAGUGCAGAGGUAGGCGGAAUUCCCGGUGUAGCGGUGGAAUGCGUAGAUAUCGGGAGGAACACCAGUGGCGAAAGCGGCCUACUGGGCACCAACUGACGCUGAGGCUCGAAAGUGUGGGUAGCAAACAGGAUUAGAUACCCUGUAGUCCACACCGUAACGAUGAUUACUAGUGUUGGAGGAUUGACCCCUUCAGUGCCGCAGUUAACACAAUAAGUAAUCCACCUGGGGAGUACGACCGCAAGGUUGAAACUCAAAGGAAUUGACGGGGGCCCGCACAAGCAGUGGAGUAUGUGGUUUAAUUCGACGCAACGCGAAGAACCUUACCAAGUCUUGACAUCCCUUGACAGACAUAGAAAUAUGUAUUCUCUUCGGAGCAAGGAGACAGGUGGUGCAUGGUUGUCGUCAGCUCGUGUCGUGAGAUGUUGGGUUAAGUCCCGCAACGAGCGCAACCCUUAUGGUCAGUUACUACGCAAGAGGACUCUGGCCAGACUGCCGUUGACAAAACGGAGGAAGGUGGGGAUGACGUCAAAUCAUCAUGCCCUUUAUGACUUGGGCUACACACGUACUACAAUGGCGUUAAACAAAGAGAAGCAAGACCGCGAGGUGGAGCAAAACUCAGAAACAACGUCCCAGUUCGGACUGCAGGCUGCAACUCGCCUGCACGAAGUCGGAAUUGCUAGUAAUCGUGGAUCAGCAUGCCACGGUGAAUACGUUCCCGGGCCUUGCACACACCGCCCGUC